rnacentral:rRNA from 1 species
UGAUCCUGGCUCAGAUUGAACGCUGGCGGCAUGCCUAACACAUGCAAGUCGAACGGAGAUAGGGGCAACCUUAUUUCAGUGGCGGACGGGUGAGGAAUGCGUCGGAAUCUGCCCUAUGGUGGGGGAUAACACAGGGAAACUUGUGCUAAUACCGCAUAAUGUCGAGAGACCAAAGCAGGGGACCGCAAGGCCUUGCGCGAUAGGAUGAGCCGACGCCCGAUUAGCUUGUUGGUAGGGUAAAGGCCUACCAAGACGACGAUCCUUAGCUGGUCUGAGAGGAUGAUCAGCCACACUGGGACUGAGACACGGCCCAGACUCCUACGGGAGGCAGCAGUGGGGAAUAUUGGACAAUGGGCGAAAGCCUGAUCCAGCAAUGCCGCGUGAGUGAUGAAGGCCUUAGGGUUGUAAAGCUCUUUUACCAGGGAUGAUAAUGACAGUACCUGGAGAAUAAGCUCCGGCUAACUCCGUG